CCGCCACGCUGUCCGCGAUUUAGCGAAACUGCUGUCCGUCAGUUAGCGAAACUGCUGUCCCGUUUUUGCGAAAUACGCACUCCGUCCAACCCGGAGGCUUCUUCGCACGUUUCUUCUACCUCUGAAACCAGGUUAUCGGCUUCGCGCUUACGGAUGUUCCCCUGUAACCUCGUCAGGAGCUCGGCGCCGGUUCCCCACUACUCGGCCUUGAACCACCCCUGCAUCUGUGGGAACGCCUUAACGAGCGGGAUGAGGGCGACGGCGACCUCGCUUCGCUUGAGGAUCGGCCGGUCCGUCGG
rnacentral:misc_RNA from 1 species